rnacentral:rRNA from 1 species
AGAGUUUGAUCCUGGCUCAGAACGAACGCUGGCGGCAGGCCUAAUACAUGCAAGUCGAGCGCGCCCUUCGGGGUGAGCGGCGGACGGGUGAGUAACGCGUGGGAAUAUGCCCUUCUCUAAGGAAUAGCCUCGGGAAACUGAGAGUAAUACCUUAUACGCCCUUCGGGGGAAAGAUUUAUCGGAGAAGGAUUAGCCCGCGUUAGAUUAGGUAGUUGGUGGGGUAAUGGCCUACCAAGCCUACGAUCUAUAGCUGGUUUGAGAGGAUGAUCAGCCACACUGGGACUGAGACACGGCCCAGACUCCUACGGGAGGCAGCAGUAGGGAAUCUUAGACAAUGGGGGAAACCCUGAUCUAGCCAUGCCGCGUGUGUGAUGAAGGCCUUAGGGUCGUAAAGCACUUUCGCCAGAGAUGAUAAUGACAGUAUCUGGUAAAGAAACCCCGGCUAACUCCGUGCCAGCAGCCGCGGUAAUACUGAGGGGGUUAGCGUUGUUCUGAAUUACUGGGCGUAAAGCGUACGUAGGCGGAUUAGUAAGUUAGAGGUGAAAUCCCAGGGCUUCAACCCUGGAACUGCCUUUAAUACU